GAAGUCUUUAUUUUAUUAAUACUUUUAUUCUUUCAUAAUUGUAUUAUUGCAUUUACAUGGAUAUGAACUUUGUGUGAAUUUUAAACAUACAAGUACUAAAGGAAUAAAAUUACAGCUCUUGGAAUUUUGAUCCUAUACUAGACUGUCUGAAUGCAUUUCUAGCAUACAGCCCUAGCCCCACAACCAAUAAUAUAAGCAAGACCAAUUUCUUCCUCUUGUUUAUCCUUGAAUCCAAAUCUCCAAGGUCUUCAUUAUCAAUAUCAGCCUGAUUAGAUGGUCCUAAACUGAGAGUGAAAUCUAAAAGCCUACCUAGUUUUGGAUCUUGAGACAGGCUUAGCAACUUUGGUUGCAGCUUCUGUUGUCUCAGUUAAGCCAUUAUUAUUAGUACUAACCUUCUUCUGAGCCAUUUUGUAUAUGCUAGCAGCUUCUGUUUCUGUCUUGCUUUUUUCCUUUUCAUAGCUUGUCUCCUUCUCUUUCUGUGGUGUCUUCUGAUCAGAGACUUCAUUGUUAGCAUUUUUCUGAUCAACCUCUUGUGAUGGCCCCUUAGGCUUUGGAGCUUCGUGAGGAAGCAGAUUUGUUGUUUCAAUUGGCUUAAUAUUUAGUUUGGAAAACUUGAUAUAUAACUUAGCACCCUCAAACUUGGCAGUUACAUUGUCUGUGUCAUAAUCAGAAGGAAGAGGAAAUUCUAUAUUCAAACGACUCCAUCUGUUCUCAAUUAUCUGUCUCUCACCCAUAAGCUUUAGGGCAGGCUUUGAGGUCACUUGAACUUUCAGUUGGUCAAUUCUAUAUCCUGCAUUUACCUGGUAGGAGGACAGUGAUACUUCCUUCAUCUCUUGCCCAUUCAUAAUAUGGUGUAAAAUCUUCAUAGAUACGAUCAGCUUCUAGUUGUGACUUUUGAUCCAUUUUUUGGCUUAAUUGGUUGCUGUUUUGAUUUUUGUGUUCUAUAUAUCUUUGUCUCUUGUUAUCUUAGAGAGAAUGAAAGAUCUUAUGUUUGUUUUAUAGUCAUGGAUAGGGGAAUGGAUAUGAGCUUUCCAGAUUGA